AAGAUAUUUCUAUCCUUGGAUAUCAUUCAUCAAGCAAUGCAUAUAGAACAUUCAAUGAAAAGAUUCGAGUUGUAGAAAUAUCAAUUCAUUUUAUUCCUUAUGAGACUAAUGAUUUAUUAUGAAGAUACUAAAAUUAAAUUAUAUAUGUAUAUGGUUAAUCUUUUACAUAUAACAAUCUGAAAACUUGUUAAUAAUUAUAACCAAAUUGAGUUUUUCAGAAAUGCACUUAAUGAAGAAAAAUUGAUGACUACUAAAAGACUAAAUCAAGAAAAGAUGAAAUAGAUCUUGAUUCUUGCAUGAUUAAAAGUAAAGAUCACCAUUAUCAUUUGCUUGCCUCAUGAGCUUUAUAUUCUGUCAAAUGAAUGUGUAGAAUUCACUCCUAUGUGGUUAUUUCAUUAAAAAAGAGAUCUA
rnacentral:lncRNA from 1 species